GACGAACGCUGGCGGCGUGCUUAACACAUGCAAGUCGAACGGAAAGGCCCUGCUUUUGUGGGGUGCUCGAGUGGCGAACGGGUGAGUAACACGUGAGUAACCUGCCCUUGACUUUGGGAUAACUUCAGGAAACUGGGGCUAAUACCGGAUAGGAGCUCCUGCUGCAUGGUGGGGGUUGGAAAGUUUCGGCGGUUGGGGAUGGACUCGCGGCUUAUCAGCUUGUUGGUGGGGUAGUGGCUUACCAAGGCUUUGACGGGUAGCCGGCCUGAGAGGGUGACCGGCCACAUUGCGACUGAGGUACGGCCCAGACUCCUACGGGAGGCAGCAGUGGGGAAUAUUGCACAAUGGGCGGAAGCCUGAUGCAGCAACGCCGCGUGCGGGAUGACGGCCUUCGGGUUGUAAACCGCUUUCGCCUGUGACGAAGCGUGAGUGACGGUAAUGGGUAAAGAAGCACCGGCUAACUACGUG
rnacentral:rRNA from 1 species